rnacentral:tRNA from 1 species
GAGCCCGUAGCUCAGCUGGUAGAGCAUCUGACUUUUAAUCAGAGGGUCGUGGGUUCGAGCCCCGCCGGGCUCACCA